rnacentral:rRNA from 1 species
GAUGAACGCUGGCGGCGUGCCUAAUACAUGCCAGUCGAGCGAACGGACGAGAAGCUUGCUUCACUGAUGUUAGCGGCGGACGGGUGAGUAACACGUGGAUAACCUACCUAUAAGACUGGGAUAACUUCGGGAAACCGGAGCUAAUACCGGAUAAUAUUUUUAACCGCAUGUUUCAAAAGUGAAAGACGGUCUUGCUGUCACUUAUAGAUGGAUCCGCGCUGCAUUAGCUAGUUGGUAAGGUAACGGCUUACCAAGGCAACGAUGCAUAGCCGACCUGAGAGGGUGAUCGGCCACACUGGAACUGAGACACGGUCCAGACUCCUACGGGAGGCAGCAGUAGGGAAUCUUCCGCAAUGGGCGAAAGCCUGACGGAGCAACGCCGCGUGAUUGAUGAAGGUCUUCGGAUCGUAAAACUCUGUUAUUAGGGAAGAACAUAUGUGGAAGUAACUGUGCACAUCGUGACGGUACCUAAUCAGAAAGCCACGGCUAACUACGUG